UACAGAGGUGGCAAGCGUUGUUCGGAAUUACUGGGCGUAAAGGGCGCGUAGGCGGCCUUCUAAGUCAGACGUGAAUUCCCCAGGCUUAACCUGGGAACUGCGUCUGAUACUGGAUGGCUUGAAUUCGGGAGAGGGAUGCAGAAUUCCAGGUGUAGCGGUGAAAUGCGUAGAUAUCUGGAGGAACACCGGUGGCGAAGGCGGGUCUCUGGGCCGAUACUGACGCUGAGGAGCGAAAGCGUGGGGAGCAAACAGG
rnacentral:rRNA from 1 species